GAUUGAACGCUGGCGGCAGGCCUAACACAUGCAAGUCGAGCGGUAGAGAGGUGCUUGCACCUCUUGAGAGCGGCGGACGGGUGAGUAAAGCCUAGGAAUCUGCCUGGUAGUGGGGGAUAACGCUCGGAAACGGACGCUAAUACCGCAUACGUCCUACGGGAGAAAGCAGGGGACCUUCGGGCCUUGCGCUAUCAGAUGAGCCUAGGUCGGAUUAGCUAGUUGGUGAGGUAAUGGCUCACCAAGGCGACGAUCCGUAACUGGUCUGAGAGGAUGAUCAGUCACACUGGAACUGAGACACGGUCCAGACUCCUACGGGAGGCAGCAGUGGGGAAUAUUGGACAAUGGGCGAAAGCCUGAUCCAGCCAUGCCGCGUGUGUGAAGAAGGUCUUCGGAUUGUAAAGCACUUUAAGUUGGGAGGAAGGGCAUUAACCUAAUACGUUAGUGUUUUGACGUACCGACAGAAUAAGC
rnacentral:rRNA from 1 species